AAAUCAUGUUGACGACAACUCCUAAGCAUGCCCUUGUAUCUUUCACAUGCUUCAUACAACGAUUCUCCGACUUCUUGUUGAAAAUUAAUAAUCUUCUUCUUUAGCUU